rnacentral:rRNA from 1 species
UACGUAGGGUGCAAGCGUUAAUCGGAAUUACUGGGCGUAAAGCGUGCGCAGGCGGUUUUGUAAGUCUGACGUGAAAUCCCCGGGCUCAACCUGGGAAUUGCGUUGGAGACUGCAAGGCUAGAAUCUGGCAGAGGGGGGUAGAAUUCCACGUGUGAGCAGUGAAAUGCGUAGAUAUGUGGAGGAACACCGAUGGCGAAGGCAGCCCCCUGGGUCAAGAUUGACGCUCAUGCACGAAAGCGUGGGGAGCAAACAGG